UACCUCGAGCCACCAGCCACCAGCCAGCGCUAGAACGCAGACACCAAGCCAAGACCCCAAAAGCCCCACACUUGACGAUAAAAAGUAAUCCUCCAUUUUAUGCAGCAACUGUAACCAAGAUUUAAGAAGCUCUCAUCUUACAGGUUUUGCAAAGACCCUUUUCGAAGAAGGAGAAGCUAUGGCUGCAGCUUUGGUAGGAGGGUCAAUUCUCUCUGCUUUCCUUCAAGUUUUGUUUGAUAGAAUGGCGUCUCGUGAGGUUUUAGACUUCUUCAAGGAGCGAAAACUCAAUGAAAGGCUGCUUAAGAAGUUGAAGAUUAUGAUGAUAUCUGUCAAUGGAGUGCUUGAUGAUGCAGAGGAGAAGCAGGUUACCAAGCCAGCUGUGAAAGAGUGGCUUGAUGAGCUUAAAGAUGCCGUGUAUGAAGCAGAUGACUUGUUGGAUGAGAUUGCUUAUGAAGCUCUGCGGUUGGAGGUGGAAGCUGGAUCACAAAUCACCGCUAAUCAGGCGCUUAGAACUUUGUCUUCUAGUAAAAGGGAGAAGGAAGAGAUGGAAGAAAAGUUGGGAGAGAUCCUUGAUAGACUUGAAUAUUUAGUACAACAAAAGGAUGCCCUCGGUUUGAGGGAGGGUAUGAGAGAAAAAGCAUCAUUACAGAAAACACCAACAACUUCUUUGGUGGAUGAUAUUGAUGUUUGCGGUAGGGAUCAUGAUAAGGAAGCUAUACUGAAGUUGUUGCUAUCUGAUGUUUCAAAUGGGAAAAACUUAGAUGUGAUUCCCAUUGUUGGUAUGGGUGGAAUCGGUAAGACUACUCUUGCUCAGCUUGUCUACAAUGACCGCGGAGUGCAGGAGUCAUUUGAUCUCAAAGCAUGGGUCUGUGUUUCAGAAAAUUUUGAUGUUUUCAAGAUAACAAAUGAUGUCCUUGAGGAGUUCGGUUCGGUGAUUGAUGAUGCCAGGACUCCAAAUCAGCUUCAACUAAAGCUAAGGGAGAGAUUAAUGGGGCAAAAAUUUCUGCUUGUUUUAGAUGAUGUUUGGAAUAAUAGCUAUGCUGAUUGGGAUAUUCUAAUGAGACCUCUAAAGUCGGCAGGACAGGGAAGCAAGAUUAUUGUCACGACACGCAAUGAAAGCGUAGCAUCAGUCAUGCGUACUGUUGCAACUUACCGUCUAAAGGAAUUAACCAACGAUGAUUGCUGGUUCUUGUUUGCAAAACAUGCAUUUGAUGAUGGAAAUUCAUCCCUACAUCCAGAUUUGCAAGUAAUUGGAAGAGAAAUAGUGAGAAAAUGUAAAGGCCUGCCGCUAGCUGCAAAAACACUUGGGGGUCUCCUUCGCUCCAAAAGAGAUGCUAAGGAGUGGAUGAAGAUAUUGAGGAGUGAUAUGUGGGAUUUACCAAUUGACAACAUUCUUCUAGCUUUGAGAUUGAGUUAUCGUUAUCUCCCAUCGCAUCUAAAACAAUGUUUUGCUUACUCUGCAAUAUUUCCUAAAGGUUAUGAAUUUCAGAAGGAGGAAUUACUAUUUCUAUGGAUGGCAGAGGGUUUUAUAAACCAACCUAAAGGAAACAUGGAGAUGGAAGAUUUGGGCGAAGAGUAUUUUCAUGAUCUUGUAUCAAGGUCAUUUUUUCAACAAUCAAGUGGCUAUACAUCGUCAUUUGUUAUGCAUGACCUAAUAAAUGACUUAGCAAAAUUUGUUUCUGGAGAAUUUUGCUGCAGGUUAGAGGAUGACAAUUCAAGUAAGAUUAGUAAAAAGGCCCGUCAUUUAUCGUUUGCAAGAAUACAUGGUGAUGGCACUAUGAUACUGAAAGGUGCUUGUGAAGCCCACUUUUUGCGUACACUUUUGCUUUUCAAUCGGUCACACUGGCAGCAGGGGAGACAUGUUGGAAAUGGGGCAAUGAACAAUUUAUUUCUGACAUUCAGGUGCUUACGGGCACUGUCUCUGUCUCUGGAUCAUGAUGUAGUUGGUUUGCCUAAUUCAAUUGGUAAUCUGAAGCAUUUGCGAUACUUGAAUCUAUCUGCAACAUCAAUAGUAAGGUUGCCUGACUCUGUGAGUACUUUAUAUAAUUUGCAAACAUUAAUUUUGCAUGAAUGCAAAGACCUCAUUGAGUUGCCUACCAGCAUGAUGAAAUUGAUCAACUUAUGCCAUCUUGAUAUUACAAAAACAAAGUUACAAGCGAUGCCAUCACAAUUAAGUAAGCUAACAAAACUCCUUAAGUUAACUGAUUUCUUUUUGGGAAAACAAAGUGGGUCAAGCAUUAAUGAGUUGGGGAAGCUCCAGCACCUAAGAGGAACGCUCCGCAUUUGGAAUCUUCAAAAUGUCAUGGAUGCUCAGAAUGCAAUAAAAGCCAAUUUGAAGGGUAAACAACUGCUUAAGGAGUUGGAGUUAACUUGGAAAGGUGAUACUAAUGAUUCACUGCAUGAAAGACUCGUACUGGAGCAAUUACAGCCUCAUAUGAACAUUGAAUGCCUUUCAAUUGUUGGUUAUAUGGGUACUAGAUUUCCAGAUUGGAUAGGAGAUUCCUCGUUCUCAAAUAUAGUUUCCUUGAAGCUCAUUGGCUGUAAAUACUGCUCCUCCUUACCUCCACUUGGACAGCUAGUGUCUCUGAAAGAUCUCCUGAUCAAAGAAUUUGGUGAAAUCAUGGUUGUUGGUCCCGAGUUCUAUGGAAGUUGCACAUCCAUGAAGAAGCCAUUUGGAUCCCUUGAAAUUUUGACAUUUGAAGGGAUGUCAAAAUGGCACGAGUGGUUUUUCUAUUCAGAAGAUGAUGAAGGUGGAGCUUUCCCUCGCCUCCAAAAGCUUUACAUAAAUUGUUGUCCACACCUAACAAAAGUCCUGCCCAACUGUCAACUUCCCUGUUUAACAACACUUGAGAUCAGGAAAUGUCCACAGCUUGUGUCUUUACUUCCAAGGAUUCCGAGCUUCCUUAUAGUAGAGGUGGAAGAUGAUUCUCGAGAAGUGCUGCUAGAGAAAUUGUCUUCUGGGCAGCACAGCCUCAAACUUGACCGACUGAAGUCCCUUGACUCUCUAUUAAAGGGAUGCUUGUCCACUACAGAAAAAAUUCUAGUAAGGAACUGUGAUUCACUUGAGAGCUUCCCACUGGACCAGUGUCCUCAGUUAAAGCAAGUUCGGAUCCAUGGAUGUCCAAAUCUCCAAUCCCUUUCUUCACAUGAAGUAGCUCGUGGGGAUGUCACAUCUCUCUAUUCCUUGGAUAUCAGGGACUGCCCCCAUUUGGUAUCUUUUCCCGAAGGAGGAUUAGCUGCUCCAAAUAUGACAGUGCUUCGGUUGCGGAACUGCUCUAAGAUGAAGUCACUGCCUGAAUAUAUGGACUCCCUUCUCCCAUCCCUCGUGGAAAUUUCUUUAAGAAGGUGUCCAGAACUUGAGUCAUUUCCAAAAGGGGGAUUGCCCUGCAAAUUAGAAUCACUUGAGGUCUAUGCAUGCAAGAAACUCAUUAAUGCCUGCUCAGAAUGGAAUUUGCAAAAACUCCACUCUCUUUCACGCUUAACUAUUGGUAUGUGCAAAGAAGUGGAAUCCUUCCCUGAAAGUUUGCGGCUUCCACCCAGUCUUUGUUCUCUUAAAAUCUCAGAACUCCAAAAUCUGAAAUCGCUGGACUACAGGGAACUUCAACACCUUACCUCUCUUAGAGAAUUGAUGAUUGAUGGUUGCCCUAAGCUCCAGUCAUUGCCAGAAGGACUGCCUGCCACUCUUACCUCUUUUAAAAUAUGGGCACUUCAGAAUCUGGAGUCUCUAGGACACAAGGGAUUUCAACACCUCACUGCUCUUAGAGAAUUGGAGAUUGAGAGCUGCCCCAUGCUGCAGUCCAUGCCAGAAGAACCAUUGCCCCCCUCUCUCUCAUCUCUAUAUAUCCGGGAGUGUCCUUUGCUGGAAAGUAGGUGUCAGCGAGAGAAGGGGGAAGACUGGCACAAGAUUCAGCAUGUUCCUAACAUACAUAUCUAUGCAACAUGCUGAGAUGGUGCUUCUGCUUGGUAUGUGGAGUGUUCAUGCACUAAUUGGAGGCUUAUGGUGAGCAUAGUAUUGAUAUUGGAACUGAUUUCAAAUCCGGUUCAGAAAUUACACUUGAAAGACUGAAGCUCAGGCACAGGAUUUUGUGUUAUCAAAUAUAGUUGAUGGUCAUUUCUGCUUGGAGUGUUGCCUGAUGAUUCACCAUUCAUUGGUUAGCCCGACAUAUUUUGGAGCUAUAUUCCAGUCUUCCAGAGUUUCCCUGAGUUUUGAGGCCAAUCCAUGUUGCAAAUCCAAAUUCUUUCUCAGUUGUCUGACUACGUUGAAGAUGAAACAUCAUGUAUGGCUUAGCUUGAAUGGCAAUUCUGGAGAGACAAAGCUGACCACCUGUUUCAGAACACUUGAAUGUAGUUAAAUCUGCAAAAAGUCUGUCCACGCUGUCAAAACAUGAGCGUAAACAAAAGCUUAACAGGCCAUGUUCAGAUUUCAAGAAACAAGGCCGUUACCACUGCGGCUGAUAAGAGUUUAACGUCCCUCAAUUUUGAAGGUAUGAAUCAUACCUUGUAAAUGGGAUUCUGAGGUAGGAGCUCGUUUUCAAGUGGGCAUUCAUCUCUCUGAACUGAAGCUUCAGAAUGAGCUUUCGCAUUUUCAAGAGCAGCUGAUAAGCAAAUGUUGUUAUGUGUUGAUUCAUCUAGUUUAGUCCCACAGCUAUCACAACAUAUGUUCAGAAAGCAAGAUGUAGCAACAAUGAAGUAACUCUCGAUCUUUCCAUGUUAGUUCAGGAAUUUGUGUCUUGUAAAUUAUAAUGCCAUGCAUGUACGAGGAUUAAGUUCACAAACAUGCACCAAAUGAUGUUUUCUCUUGUACUUGAUUUGCAAGCAUGCUUUAUUUCCAUGGAUGACAGUUUCUCCCGGGGAACUGCUCCCAUGUGUUGGAUUAAUGUUAUGUUCUCAUCUCUCUC